GUGUCGGUAGCUUAGUUGGUAGAGCGACGGGCUGGUAUCCCGGAGUCGCGAGUUCGAGUCUGGCCCGAGACA